CCUACGGGAGGCAGCAGUGGGGAAUAUUGGACAAUGGGCGCAAGCCUGAUCCAGCAAUGCCGCGUGAGUGAUGAAGGCCUUAGGGUCGUAAAGCUCUUUUACCAGGGAUGAUAAUGACAGUACCUGGAGAAUAAGCUCCGGCUAACUCCGUGCCAGCAGCCGCGGUAAUACGGAGGGAGCUAGCGUUGUUCGGAAUUACUGGGCGUAAAGCGUACGUAGGCGGUUAUUCAAGUCAGAGGUGAAAGCCCGGGGCUCAACCCCGGAACGGCCUUUGAAACUAGGUAGCUAGAAUCUUGGAGAGGUCAGUGGAAUUCCGAGUGUAGAGGUGAAAUUCGUAGAUAUUCGGAAGAACACCAGUGGCGAAGGCGACUGACUGGACAAGUAUUGACGCUGAGGUACGAAAGCGUGGGGAGCAAACAGGAUUAGAUACCCUGGUAGUCCACGCCGUAAACGAUGAUAACUAGCUGUCCGGGCACUUGGUGCCUGGGUGGCGCAGCUACGACAUAAGUUAUCCGCCGUGGGAGGUACGGUCGCAAGAAUUAAACUAACAAAGGAAGUUAGUACGGCGUGAGACGUGCCGAACGGACGACGACGAGGGGAGUAGG
rnacentral:rRNA from 1 species